UGAAACCCUGGAUUGCAGGUCCGACGUCCUGAAGUACAGCAGGAGGCUCAGCACCAAAGAAAGUAAAGAUACUCCAGGCAGCCCAGAGCUCAGCAGAAGAGGUUCCACACUGAGGUUCUUCCUCCAAGAUGGAAAACGAAGAAGGAAGUGCAGAUGGACAAAAGGGCUGGCUGAUUAUAAAGAUAUCAGCUCACAGAAAGCUCCUGUCUGAUGAUAUCAAUAUGUCCUCCGGACAGUAAAUUAGUAUUGCUCUCUCUUAAAAAGGAUGGCAAUUGCAAUAGAGAUGGCAAUUGCAAUAAGGAACCGUGGAUGGGCACAGUCCUGUAAUUCCCAAAGUGUAUCAUGAGAAAAACUGGUACAGUGUUGCAAGAAAUAAAUGAAAUAAGGAAUUAAA